rnacentral:rRNA from 1 species
UGUCGAACCCUGCACAGCAGAACGACCCGUGAACACGUUGAAAAACACAUUCGGGGCGGGGGAAAGCUCGCGCGGACCCUCCCCCUCCAAAAACGAACCCCGGCGCGAUCCGCGCCAAGGAAAACUAAAAAACUCGAGGGCGCGCCGUCCUCCCGCCGCCCCCGUACGCGGGGCGCGCGCGGGCUCCCGGCCGCUCCUUAGUGAAAAACACAAACGACUCUCGGCAACGGAUAUCUCGGCUCUCGCAUCGAUGAAGAACGUAGCGAAAUGCGAUACUUGGUGUGAAUUGCAGAAUCCCGUGAACCAUCGAGUCUUUGAACGCAAGUUGCGCCCGAAGCCUUUAGGCCGAGGGCACGUCUGCAUGGGCGUCACGCAUCGCGUCGCCCCCACAAACAGCGCUCGCGCUGCUUGGCGGGGAGCGGAUACUGGCCUCCCGUGCCCCCCGGCGCGGCUGGCUCAAAACGGAGUCCCCUGCGGAGGACGCACGGCAAGUGGUGGUUGAUAAAAAGGCCCUCGCGUCCCGCCGUGCGGCAAUCCCCCGCGGGAUCCGGCUCUCCUACGAGUGACCCUGACGACGCUCGCCUCCGGAUGCCCGGCAGGCCAGCGCUCCGACCGCGACCCCAUGUCAGGCGGGACUACCCGCUGAGUUUAAGCAUAUCAAUAAGCGGAGGAAAAGAAACUUACAAGAUUCC